GGAGGAGGAGGAGCAUAAGGAAUCAGUCUCGCAGUGAGUGUCGCAGUGGAGGGCAGGAUGGUGUUCUGAAGUGAAUUCCGUCAUUCUUUCGCCUCUCGCGCGAAUAUCCGAGGCUGCAUCUGACUACUGAAUGUUAAAAAGAACUCUAAAACCACGUGACUUUCCCUUAAGUGAUUAGACAAAGUGCCCAGGACAGUGAAUUAGAGACGCCGGAUGGGAGGAAAGCGGCUGCGUUUGGCUGUGUGAUGUUUCGUGGCAACUGACUCAGAACGGCUCGAAGCAUUGUGUGUUCGUGAGACUUGAAUGGUGAGAAGGGAAAAGUGCAUGCCGUUCGAAUCAUUGGCUAAAGCCAAACAGGAAUUCAACAUAUGCAAGGAUUUUCAGCGAAACGAACCCGCGGCGAGGUGGAGUCGUGAACGAGACACCGACACCGAGAAGAAAGAAGAGGAGGCCAUGGCUGGUGUUGUAAAUGCAGCCGACUCGGAGAAAUAUUGCAUCUGUACACAAGUUGUCCAUCCGUGAAAGGGUUCGUGGCUCCACAUAACUCAAUGGGAACUCCCGCUCUCAAAGAACUGUCGUUGUUGCUGUUGCUGUUGUUGCAAUGAAGUCAAAUGUUACGGACUGUAGCUCAGUGAUUGGACCUGAUGUUGGCACUGCUCGUGGGAGUUCCCAGAUGCUUCACAUGAUGCACCAAGCCCAUGGACGAAGCCGGUCCAAGCUCGCUCCCACUCAACUGCUUGCAUGCUAGAACCAAACAAUGAAAGGCGCGCAGCCCAGGAGUGUAGAAACUUCAAGACGACAGUAGAGGCUCCUGGGAUAGCACCGCCGCCGCCAUUAUCACCGCCACCACCGUCACCAGCUGGCGCCUCCUGCCUGCCCAGGAUACUCUCACUACUGAAGAGGACAACCAAAGCGACUCCCUCAAGACACCAUCGUCUGGAUGCACAAGCUUACCUGCAGCAGUUGGACCAACCAUCAGCCUCCUGCCUCCCCAGCAUGCCUCCUCUUCACCCCACUACUGAAGACCAGGCCGAAAUUGGAUCGAAAAUGUAUAUAAGAUAUUUCAAAAUGUAUAAAAAAAUAGAUUUAAAAUGUAUAAAAAAAUAUAUUAGAUAUUUCAAAAUGUAUAAAAAAAAAAUGUAAAGUUGUGCCAAGAAGGCCUGGGAUGUACCGGAAAACUUUGAUUUGGUAUAGAAUGUGUAUAUAAGAAAUGUAAAAUUGUAGAGAAAUGUCAAAAAAAGGCCCUAAAAAAGGGUCCCAAAAACUGAAAAUUGUAAAGAAAUGCCAAAAAAAGGCCCAAAAAGGGCCCAAAAAAAAGGCCCAAAAAGGGCCCAAAAAAUGUCCCAAAAAUGUACUUAAGUCAAAAAUACUCCGAAGACUCUCCGGAGAUUUUGUAAUGAAGAAUGUAGGAAAAUUUAAUAAAGAGUGUUUGGGGAAGAAAUAUAUCUUUU